UUGACAGUUCUAAUGACCUAAAGCCUUUAUUUAUCCACAGAACAGGGUCAGCACAGGCAGGGACACUGCAAGCUUCCUCUCCCUCCCGCAUGCUGCCCUGCCAAUGUGCUUCAGUCUAGAGGCAGAUGAAGAUGAGUUCACUCUCUAUGACCUAUUCAGUCCUUGGCCUCU
ensembl:misc_RNA